AGCGGGAAGAGCUCAAAUUUGAAAGCUGGCGUCUUCGGCGUCCGCGUUGUAAUCUCGAGACGUGUUUUCCGUGCGGCUCUAUGGACAAGUCCCUUGGAACAGGGCAUCGUAGAGGGUGAAAAUCCCGUACUUGCCAUGGAAGUACCGUGCUUUGUGAUACACGCUCCAAGAGUCGAGUAGUUUGGGAUUGCUGCUCAAAGUGGGUGGUAGACUCCAUCUAAAGCUAAAUAUCGGGGAGAGACCGAUAGCGAACAAGUACCGUGAGGGAAAGAUGAAAAGCACUUUGGAAAGAGAGUUAAAAGUACGUGAAAUUGUCGAAAGGGAAGCACUUGAAGUCAGCCAUGCUGCUUGAGACUCAGCCUGGCUUUUGCUUGGUGUAUUUCUCGGUAGCAAGCCAGCAUUGGUUUGUGUCGUCGGAGAAGCGUAUGGGGAAUGUGGCAUCCUCGGAUGUGUUAUAGCCCUGUGCAGGAUACGACGACGUAGACCAAGGAACGCAGUGUGCCCUCUGGGCG
rnacentral:rRNA from 1 species